rnacentral:rRNA from 1 species
UGGGACUGAGACACGGCCCAGACUCCUACGGGAGGCAGCAGUGGGGAAUAUUGCGCAAUGGGCGAAAGCCUGACGCCGCGACGCCGCGUGGGGGAUGAAGGCUUUCGGAGUGUAAACCCCUUUCGGCAGGGACGAAACUGACGGUACCUGCAGAAGAAGCCCCGGCUUACUACGUGCCGGCAGCCGCGGUGAGACGUAGCCGGC